AGCUGGUCCAAAGGUAGUGAGUUAUCUCACUUGGUUGUUCGCAGUCAGUUAGAGAUUGAACUCCUUGUUCUACUGCUUUCCUCCUCACUACUGCGCUUGUCUAGUCAAAA
rnacentral:Y_RNA from 1 species